UACGGAGGGUGCAAGCGUUAUCCGGAUUCACUGGGUUUAAAGGGUGCGUAGGUGGGUUGAUAAGUCAGUGGUGAAAUCCCCGAGCUUAACUUGGGAACUGCCAUUGAUACUAUUGAUCUUGAAUACCGUGGAGGUCAGCGGAAUAUGUCAUGUAGCGGUGAAAUGCUUAGAUAUGACAUAGAACACCGAUAGCGAAGGCAGCUUGCUACACAGUCAUUGACACUGAGGCACGAAAGCGUGGGGAGCAAACAGG
rnacentral:rRNA from 1 species